rnacentral:ncRNA from 1 species
AAAGUUUUGGUCCUAAACUUGCCGUUGUUUUUUACCAAAAUUAUACAUGCAAGCCUCCACAAACCAGUGAGAAUGCCCACACACCCCAAACAGCUAACCGGAGCAGGCAUCAGGAUACAACUCUUUUUUAGCCUAACACGCCUUGCUUACGCCACACCCACACGGGUUUUCAGCAGUAAUUAACAUUAAAAAUGAGCGAAAGCUCGAUCUAGUUAUGGUAAACAUAGCCGGUAGAUUUCGUGCCAGCCACCGCGGUUAUACGAAAGACUAAAAACAACGACUUCCGGCGUAAAGCGUGACUGAGGGCCAAUUAAACUUUAGAGGGGAACUAGCGUUAAGUCGUAAAACACUCUUGUGCCUAGAACAACAACCAAUGCCUCCAACACCCACCCAUCUCACGAAAGCUAAGAAACAAACUGGGAUUAGAUACCCCACUAUGCUCAGCCCUAAACAACGAUCUUACUUACACAAUAUUUUCCGCCAGAGAACUACAAGCGAAAAGCUAAAAACUCCAAGGACUUGGCGGUGCUUCAAACCAACCUAGAGGAGCCUGUCCUAUAAUCGAUACCCCCCGCUCAACCUUACCACCUUUAGCCCAUCAGCCUAUAUACCGCCGUCGUCAGCCUACCUUAUGAAAGAAAUUAAAGUAAGCAGAACAGUUAAUAACUAACAAGUCAGGUCAAGGUGUAGCACAUGAGGUGGCAGAGAUGGGCUACAUUUUCCCACACGAACACACGAACAACGUGUUGAAAAACAUGUUUAAAGGUGGAUUUAGCAGUAAAAUAAAUAAGAAAACUUAUCUUAAACCCGCUCUGAAGCGCGCACACACCGCCCGUCACCCUCAUCACACGACCCAUUAUAAAACAUAUUAAUAGUACCUUGCUUAGAUGAGGCAAGUCGUAACAUGGUAAGCGCACUGGAAAGUGUGCUUGGAAU